AUUGAACGCUGGCGGCAUGCCUUACACAUGCAAGUCGAACGGUAACAGGCCGCAAGGUGCUGACGAGUGGCGAACGGGUGAGUAAUGCAUCGGAACGUGCCCAGUCGUGGGGGAUAACGCAGCGAAAGCUGCGCUAAUACCGCAUACGAUCUAUGGAUGAAAGCGGGGGACCGUAAGGCCUCGCGCGAUUGGAGCGGCCGAUGUCAGAUUAGGUAGUUGGUGGGGUAAAGGCUCACCAAGCCAACGAUCUGUAGCUGGUCUGAGAGGACGACCAGCCAGACUGGGACUGAGACACGGCCCAGACUCCUACGGGAGGAAGCAGUAGGGAAUUUUGGACAAUGGGCGCAAGCCUGAUCCAGCAAUGCCGCGUGCAGGAAGAAGGCCUUCGGGUUGUAAACUGCUUUUGUACGGAACGAAAAGGCUCUGGUUAAUACCUGGGGCUCAUGACGGUACCGUAAGAAUAAGCACCGGCUAACUACGUGCCAGCAGCCGCCGUAAAAC
rnacentral:rRNA from 1 species